rnacentral:lncRNA from 1 species
UGAAUCUUCUAUGCAGAUAAGCUCUACACAUCGUGGUUGUCUUCCUCCUCCUCCAUUUCAUACGCUCUCCAAUCCAUCGAGGGGUCCGAAGUGUAACCCCUUGGCAUGGCCCCGUCUGUCUCUCUCGGUGCCGAUCCUGAUGAUGAGAAUCCUGUUUGGGGCCAGAUCCUAACAACUUCUGGUACGCCUCGAGCUUCAACCGGUACAGCAAGUCCGGCGGUUGCAGGUCUUCUGUCGGGCAAAGUGCAUGAUGCCUCCGAAACUGCAUAGUAAGGUGGUAGAUGUAGAACUGAGUCAUUGCUUACCCAAUCCAGCUCUAGGUCGCAAGGACCUGUGUAAGUGUGUCCAUUACCCUCAACACUCCAUGUCCCCUCCUAGGACAUAGUGAAGCGAUAACCUCGGAUCAAUGCUCAUGGGUCCAUCUGAACAUGCAUACAAAUACACCAGAAGAAAAUAGAUGGAGUGAAACAUCAAUGAAAAACUUGCCAUUGACAUCGUGGAAUUACACAGAAUAAGACAACACACGAGUACAGAUAUAUCAUGUGAUCAUACAAGCAUAUAAUAACGAUGAAUGAAGUAUAAAACUCGAGAAUUUAGAAUCAAUAUCGAUGAAUAUAAUGUAUGCAAUGCGAUGCUUGAGUCCACCAUCCUUACUCCUUUAUCCUCCCAAUAACUAUUUGGAAAUAACCGAGAGUACAGUUCCCAUAACAAGCCGAUUUGAUCGCACCAACAUUAUUCAUCGCAAGGAUAUAUGAUCGAUCUGUUCCAAUGGAACUGUCCAUUUCAGGACGAUGUCGUAUCAAACACUUUCUGGGCUUCCCUCUCAUCGAUCCUGAUUACAAAGAGGGAUUGUCAGAGAUCGUCUAGUUUGCGCUGUGAACUCUGUCCGAUCCAACAGAAUACCUCAUCUAGGAAUACAUGGGACUCGUCUCACCUAGACUCUCCCUCAAGACUUUGCGGAUGAAUCACCCCCAUCAACCCCGUCCCUCUCAACAUCUCAGGGCUCAUUCGUCUCCCGUACAUUUCCUCUCCACUACUUCAUUUUUUACCAUGGAUUUGCCCCCUAACUGAAAUUAGAAAAUUAUGUCUUUUAAUCCAUCUUUUCUAGCGAUCUGCCCAUCCUAAGCCAUCUCCCAUCGGGAAUGCUUCUAGUGGGUCCCGAUCUUAACAUAUAAACAAAAGGAGAAUAAUUUCGGCACCACUACAAACCAUCACUGAAUUAUCCUGGACGACUAUCAAGCCAAGCCUCUUACGGUCAGACGAUCUCGCUGCAUGCGCACAACAUAUACUUCUCAGCACCACUGCGAACCAUCGCUGAAUCAUCCUGGACGACUCCUCUAGCCAAGCCUCUUACGGUCAAACAAUCUCACUGCGUGGGCAUAAGUGUUAAUUUCAUAGUCAUGAAAAUAAAUCCUAAGGUAAGACUUUCUACUACUUUAAUAUCCAAAACUUCAUAACACUUUAAGUUUAUGAAGUCAAGACUUUAAUAAAUCAUCUUUUAUCCCAAAUAAUUAUUUUAACUUGGAACAAAACCUCAUACUAUCAUCCUUCUUCUUUACAAACAAAACUAGAGCACCCCACGGAAAAACACUCAGUCUGAUGAACUGUUUUUGCAGUAGAUCCUCCAAUUGUUUCUUCAACUCUGUCAACUCUAGCGAUGCCAUCCUAUAGGGAGCUAUAGAGAUUGGUCCAACCAUUUGAAAUAUGAGUGCAUCAUAUUUGAAUGAGUUAAUCCUCUAAUUGUAAGUUCCUAUCUGGAAAACUUUGAUUGUCGGGCUUUAGAGUAUGAAUCAUCUUAAAACUUGCCCUAGUUUGAGAGGCUUCCAGUUUUCUUUUGCUUUUAGUGCUCUUUACUUCAUGCAUAAUGUAACACCCCGAAAAUAAUUUCUAUUUAAUAUAUUUAAUCUCUUAGAAAAAUGGGUAAAUUUUUCUUUCCUUUUUUUUCCUUUUAUGUAACCUAUAACUUACAAAUCAUUUUCACUUUUACCUUAUUCCAUUUUCAAGACGUCACAUUUUCAAACCUUGCGGAAAUAAAAUUCUUAAUACAUUGAACAUAAUUAAAUGAAUACAAUUCUUUUCUGAAUACUUCUCAUUCAUAAAAUUCUUGAAUAAAUACAGAAUUGUUUAAGGGAAAAAUCUAAUCAUGGCCACAAAUAAAAAAACUAAAAAUACAAACAAAAUAUUGUCGGGGCAUUGGCAAUACAAAAAGUACCUCACACAGGUUCCUAUCACAACAAAACAAAAGAGAAUCCUCCUAUACCGAAGGUGCACUAGAAGCCUCGCUAGGUUCUUCCUCCACCUCCGAGUCAGAAAAGAUCUCAAUGACCUCAACUGAAUCUUCUAUGCAGAUAAGCUCUACACAAUCGUCGUUAUCUUCCGCCUCCUCGACUUUAUUCGCACUCCAAUCCAUCGAGGGGUCUGAGGUGUACAAAAAGUUGUUCCAAAAACUCAUUUGUUAUGGUAAGCAUACCUAUAAUCAAACUUUUACGUCCGACUUGAACCACUAAAUUCAAAUCCCUAAACUCCUCCAUCAGCUUCAUUUCUCUGACCAUCAUGGUUGAAAUGUGCAAAGACUGCCUACUCAAUGCAUCAGCCACCAUAUUAGCUUUUUCGGGAUGGUACUGAAGAUAAAAAUCCUAGUCCUUGAGGAAUUCCAUCCAUCAUCUUUGUCUCAUGUUCAGUUCCUUCUGGUCGAACAGGUACUUCAGACUCUUGUGGUCACUGAAAACUUCGACUCUCACACCAUACAGAUGGUGUCUCCACCCCUUGAGGGAAAACACGAUUGCAGCUAGUUCCAGAUUGUGCGUUCGGUAGUUCUACUCCUGUCUCUUUAACUGCCUUGACGCUUAAGCCACUACUUUCCUUUGUUGCAUCAACACACAACUUAAUCCUUGCUUCGACGCGUCACAAUAUACGUUGUAGUUUUCGUUGGGAUCUGGCAACACUAAUACAGGCGUUAUGGUCAACCUCUCCUUGAACUCUUGAAAACUUGAUUCACACUUUGUCGUCCAGACAACGGCUUUGUCCUUCCUCGUUAGUGUUGUUAGCGGCAAGGAUAACUUUGAAAAUCCUUCAAUGAAUUUUCAAUAGUACCCGCUAAUCCGAGAAAGCUUCUGAUCUUCGUCACCAACUUCGGAGAAUUCCAUUCCAUUAUCGUCUCCACUUUCAGAGGAUCCACGACAAUUCCUCCUUUCCAGAUUACAUGACCGAGAAAAUUUAUCGACUCUAGCCAAAACUCACACUUUGAAAAUUUUGCAUAGAAUUGAUUGUCCUUCAAAAUCUGCAAUACCACUCGCAUAUGUUCGACAUGUUCAUCUUGAUUAUUUGAAUAUAUCAGGAUAUCAUCGAUAAACACGACUACAAAGGUGUCGAGGUAUGGAUGAAAAAUCAUGUUCAUGUAAUCCAUGAAUACUGCAGGGGUGUUGGUCACACCAAAUGGCAUUACAAGGUAUUCGUUAUCUCCAUAAUGCGUCCAAAAAGCUAUUUUUGGAAUGUCUUCCGACUUUACGCAUAUUUGAUGAUACCCCGAUGGAAGAUUGAUCUUUGAAAAUAUUGUAGCUCCUCUAGCUGGUCCAUCAAGUCAUCAAUCCUUGGCAACAGAUACUUGUUCUUAAUGGUCGCCUUGUUUAGUUGUCGGUAGUUGGUACACAACCUCAUACUAUCGUCCUUCUUCAUUACUAACAAAACUGGAGCACCAUACGGAGAAACACUCGAUCUGACGAACUGCUUCUGCAGUAGAUCCUCCAAUUGUUUCUUCAUCUCUGUCAACUCUAACGGUGCCAUCCUAUAGGGAGCUAUAGAUAUUGGUCCAACCAUUUGAAAUCUGAGUGCAUCAGAUUUGAAUGAGUUAAUCCUCUAAUCGUAAGUUCAUAACAUUUACAUCUUCAAACGAAGAUCAGAAACAAUCAAACAAUCACACAAAGUCACACAAGAAAGUAUGUAAGGUCAUGCUCAGGCCGGAUAGGAUUGAACCACUCUGAUACCACUUUAUGCAUCCCCCCAAAAAUCAUUUCAUAUUUAAUAUAUUUAAUCUCUUAGAAAAAUGUGUAAAAUUGUCUUUUAUGUAACCUAUUGUAACGCCCCAAAAAUCAUUUCAUAUUUAAUAUAUUUAAUCUCUUAGAAAAAUGUGUAAAAUUGUCUUUUAUGUAACCUAUAACUUACAUAUAAUUUUCACUUUUACCUUAUUCCAUUUACAAGAUUGUCAAAUUUUCAAACCUUGCAGAAAUAAAAUUCUUAAUACAUUGAAGAUAAUUAAAUGAACACAAUUCUUUUCUAAAUACUUCUCAUUCAUAAAAUUCUUGAAUAAAUACAGAAUUGUUUACAUGGUGAAAUCUAAUCAUCGCCACAAAUAAAAAAAACUAAAAACACAAAGGAAAUAAUGUCAAGGCAUUGGCAUUACAAAAAAGUACCUCACACAGGUUCCUAUCACAACAAAACAAAAGAGAAACCUCCUAAACUGGGCGUGCACUGGAAGCCUCGCUAGGGUCUUCCUCCACCUCCGAGUUAGAAGAGAUCUCAACAACCUCAAAUGAAUCUUCUUUGCAGAUAAGCUCUACACACUCGAUGUUGUCUUCCUCCUCCUCUUCCUCCACUUCAUCCGCUCCCCAAUCCAUCGAGGGGUCCAGGGUGUACCCCUUGGCAUAGCCCCGUCUGUCUCUCUUGGUGCCGAUCCUAAUGUUGAGAAUUCUGUUUGGGGUCAGGUCCUAACAACUUUUGGUACACCUCGAGCUUCAACCGAUACAGAAAGUUCAGCGGUUGCAGGUCUUCGGUCGGGCAAAGUGAAUGAUGCCUCCCGAACUGCAUAGUAAGGUGGAAGAUGCAGAACUGAGCCAUUGCUUACCCAAUCCAGCUCUAGGUUGCAAGGACAUGUGUAAGUGUGUCGAUUACCCUCAACACUCCAUAUCCCCUCCUGGAACAUAGUGAAGUGAUAACCUCAGAUCAGUGCUGAUGGGUUCAUCUGAAUACGUUUAUAAAUACACCAGAACAAAAGAGAGGGAGUAAAACAUCUAUGAAAAACUUGUCAUCGACUUCGUCGAAUUAUACGGAAUAAUACACCAAGACAACACACGAGUACAUAUAUAUCAUGUGAUCAUACAAGCAUAUAAUAAUGAGGAAUGAAGUAUAAAACUCUAGAAUUUAGAAUCAAUAUCGAAGAAUAUCGUGUGUGCAAUGCGAUGCAUGAGUCCACCAUCCUUACUCCUUUAUCCUCCCAAUAACUAUUCGGAAAUAACUUCGAGUACAGUUCCCAUAAAAAUCCGAUUUUAUGGCACCAAAAUAUUCCUCGCAAGGAUAUAUGAUCGAUAUGUUCCAACGGAACUAUCCAUUUCAGGAUGGUGUCGUGUCAAACACUUUCUGGUCAUCCCUCUCAUUGAUCCUGAUUGCAAAGAGGGGUUGUUAGAGAUCGUCUAGUUUGUGUUGUGAGCAAUGUCCGAUCCAACAUAAUACCUCACCUUGGAAACGGCUCAGCCAAAGGUAGAGUCCAACGGCUGGAAGAGCCCCACACGUCGUGUGGUGUCCGGUGCGCCCCCAGCGGCCCUUGAAUAUCCGGAGGACUGAGUGCCUCCCACGCCCGAUCGUACUCAUAACCGCAUCAGGUCUCCAAGGUGAACAACCUCUUGUCGAUGGUACAAUGUAGGUAAAUGAAGUCGGCAAAAUGGAUCUGUAACCUCGGGAAAAGGAUUGGCUCUAAGGGCUUGGCACGGCGAUCCUAGUCCCCAACCCGUUGGCUGUCGUGGCGAGAGUGGGUCGCCAUAUGCCAGUCGGAGGACAGAUUGGGAACGAGCCCUUCGGAUGUUGACGCGAAGCAUUAAGAUGAUCCCUGUGGAUGUUGACGCAAUGUGAUUUCUGCCUAGUGCUCUGAAUGUCAAAGUGAAAAAAUUAUACCAAGAAAGGGUAAACGGCGGGAGUAACUGACUAUGACUCUCUUAAGGUAGCCAAAUGCCUCGUCAUCUAAUCAGUGACGCACAUGAAUGGAUUAAUGAGAUUCCCAUUGUGCUUAUCUACUAUCCAACGUCACCGCAGCCAAGGGUACUGGCUUGGCAGAAUCAGCAGGGAAAGAAGACCCUAUUGAGCUUGACUCUAGUCCGACUUUGUGAAAUGACUUGAGAGGUGUAGGAUAAGUGGGAGCUGGAAAUAGCAAAAGUGAAAAACCACUACUUUUAACGUUAUUUUCUUAUUCCGUGAAUCGGAGGCGGGGCGCAACACCUGUAUUUGGACCCAAGGUCAGCCUCGGUUGGUCGAUCCGAGCGGAAUACAUUGUCAAGUGGGGAGUUUGGCUGGGGUGGCACAUCUAUUAAAAGAUAACAUAAGUGCCCUAAGAUGAGCUCAACGAGAACAUAAAUCUCGUAUGGAACAAAAGGGUAAGAGCUCUUUUGAUUCUGAUUUCCAGUACGAAUACGAACCAUGAAAGCGUGGCCUAUCAAUCCUUUAAUCCUUUAGAAUUUGAAGCUAGAGGUGUCAGAAAACUUACCAUAGGGAUAACUGGCUUGUGGCAGCCAAGUGUUCAUAGCGACGUUGCUUUUUGAUCCUUCGAUGUCGACUCUUCCUAUCAUUGUGAAGCAUAAUUCACCAAGUCUUGGAUUGUUCACCCACCAAUAGAGAAUGUGAGCUGGGUUUAGACCAUCGUGAGACAGGUUAGUUUUAUCCUACUUAUGAAAAUUUAUCGGCUUGGAGAAAAAUCAUGUAACUUCAUUGACCACUAUCUCCUAUUCUUAUAAGCACAUGUGCAAAACCUCAUGGCAAAAUUCGACUUCUAGCCUAAAAAACCCACUAUGUCUUCCCAAAAAAAGGUUUUCCGGUGGUGUAGAGUAGGCUUCUGCAUAUUAGCCUACUAUAUCGGGGCAAGCUGCCUUCCUGCCCACACACCUUGGUGGGUCAGGAUGGCGAGCCAUGGGGCUCCCUCGAACGCCCCUGCAAGCUAUCCCUAGGCAUGCUGGUGUGUUUUUCCAUAGCGUUGUGGGCAAUUCGACUGUGUCAUCUUCCAUGCUGAAUCUCGGCCGCACGCGUCCAAGUGCAGGAUGGUGCUUUGGCUUGGUGUUGUCCGACACCUAGGACUUAUCUGGGAUGCAUUGAGGGCUUGGACUGUUCCUCGCGGAUCAAAUCGGAUUUCUUGAUGCGAAAGUCUCUUUUUUCAAGGUGCCGGCAUCAUCACACAGUACCGAGUUGGGUAGUUGCGGGCAUUGCUCGGACGUGCCGAGGCUUCUAGUGUUCCAUGUUCUGCACAUAAGGAUGUGGUGUUAGGUGAUGCCUUUAGUAGCACAGCCGGAGCACGAAGAGACACAAGUCCAGUCAACCAGAAUUGUGUUGUGGGUAGGUUGGCAUGGUUUUAGUCUAGGUGCGGUCGUGUAUGUCUCAUGUAACAAAGUGUCUUGUGUAGGCAUGUCCCUCGAGAACUGUGUGGUGUUGAGGUGCUGGUUUGGUCACACGGUGCUGGUUCAGUAGUUGCGGGCUUCCUUCUGACUUCUCGAGGCUUCUAGUGUGUCCCGUUGUGCACAAAAGGAUGUGGUGUUGGGUGAAGCCCUUAGGGGUAGAUCCGCAGCAUGAAGGGUCCUAAUUCCAAUCACCCUGAAGUGUGUUGUCGACAGGUUUGCACAGUUGAGGUCAAGGUGCGAUCGUGUUUGACUCGAGCACGGAAUGUGGCUUGCGUAGGCUCGUCUCUCGGGAAAGAGUGGUCCAUUGACGUGUUGGUUUGGUCGCACAAUGUCGAGUGGGUUAGUUGCGUCUAUCAUGUUGACAUUCCGACGCUUCUAAUGUUACCCGUUCUGCACGGAAGGAUGUCAUGAUGCCUUUAGUGGCACAACCACAACACGAAGGAGUACAACUCCAAUCAUCCGGAAGUGUGUUGUGGUCGAGUUUGCAUGUUUUGAAGUCUCUAUGCGGUCGUGUCUGAUCCAAGCUAAACUAUGCGGUGUUUGGGCUCGUGCCCCGCUAAACUGUGAUCUGGUGAUGAUCUGGAUUGGUGACACGGUGGCGAGGUAUGUACAUGUGGGAAUUCUGUGGAUGUGCCCAGGCUUCUUGUGUGGCCCAUUGUGCAUUGAAGGAUUAGGUGAUGCCUUCACGGAAGUACAUGAGAGGCCCACCACUGAGAAGCAGUAGGGGGCUUUUGCCCCACAAUGUCUCGUUCGGUUUGUGAUCUGCUCUGGUUAGGAGAUUUAUGUGGAUGCCUUGAAGCACCCUUCUCUACUUGGUGCUCCAAGAGUAUUUUGAGUGACUUAAAUAGUAGGGCACUUCAGAACAGGCUGAGUGGACUUGCUGUUAUGACCCACUUUGAUUUUUCUCCUGUCACUUUGUUUUGUGCCACCAGCCUUCAACUUUUUAAGCUUUAGUUCGUACACCCAAUGAGGAUUGUGGAGUAGCAACUCGUGUGUGCGAUUAGUCGAAUUGGUGCAACAAAAAUCCACAAUGGGCGCAUAGUCCCUUGUUCGAGUGGCAGGUGAAAUAGAUUUGUGCCAUACACACUUUCCAAGUGGUAGGUGAAAGUGAUGGCACAUGUUCCGAGUGGUUAAUGAAAGUGACCCGUUCCUUGCAUGAGAUUCUUGCUUCAGUCGCAUUCCAUAUUUCGGUGAAUACAACAUAAGACGUCGACCCCUUCAAGAAUUGCCUCCAUAUUUGGAGGGGAACCCAAAAAAAAAUUUCCAUGGUUGGCAGCAAAGUCUAAAGUCAUAAUUCAACUCCUAUCCGAUGUUGCCCGUCAUGGCACCAUGGCGUGUGCCACACUUUGGUGGAAAAUCAUUUGGCAAAUGUUUAGGAAUAAUAUUCCAAGCAUUCUUGCAAACGAAUUACUCAAAAAACAUGGUACACACAUAUUUUCUAAUUUUCAGGACUUAUGUAAUGCUCGUCGCUUAAAAAAAUUACGAAAAAUUAUCGACUUGGCGAAAAAUUGUGAAACUUCGGGAAAAAAUUCGACCUCCAGCCUCAAGAAACCCAGUAUGUCUUCCCAGAGAAAAGGAUAUCCGACUCGAAAUUCUUGAUGUGUGCGUCUCACUUGUCGAGGUUCUGGUUUGGUGACUCAGUGACGGGUUUGAUAGUUGCUGGAGGCGGGCGUUCUGAGGCUUCUAGUGUGACCCUUUUUGCACGGAAGGAUGUGCUGUUAGGUGAAGCCUUCAGGGGCAUAGCCGUAGCACGAAGGGGCGCAAUUCUAAUCAUCCGGAAGUGAGUUGCUGGCUGGUUUGCACGGUUGAAGUCAAGGUGCAGUCAUCUGUGAUGCUAGCAAAAAUGUGCCUCGAGUAGGCUUGUCCCUCAGAAUGUGUUGUUGUUGAGGUGUUGGAUUGGUCCCACAGUGCGGAAUUGGUAGUUACGACAUCCCAUGGACGUUACGAGGCUUCUAUUGUGACCAGUCCUGCACGGAAGGAUGUGGUGUUGGGCGAAGCCCUUAGGGGCACAACUGUAGCAUCAAGGGGUGCAAGCCCAAUCAUCUGGAAGUAGUGUGUUUGCGGCUAGUUUUCAUGGUUGGGGUCAAGGUGCGAUGGUGUAAGACGCACGCAACAAUGUUGUGCAUUGUAGGCUUGUCCCAUUGAAAUACGUGCGCACCUCAAGAAAUAUGUGCGCACCUAGGCGUAUAUGUUGCAUGUGAGACCCUUUUCUCCAUGGAAGGACGUGGUGUUAGGUGAUGCCCUAAGGGCUGAGCCGCACCAUGUAUAAGGGAGAGCCUGUUCGUCGGAAGUGCAUUGCAGGUGGAUUUGGCCGUCGGAUAAAAUUUGAACCCUAGUUUAUAUCUAUUUUGGCGGUUACCUUUUCUGUUCGCGCCCGACAUAGCGGAUCCGGCAGCACUAGGUGUUUCCAUUGGCUUGCUUUCCAUUGGCAUUGCGGGGAGUGGUUCGUAUCGUAUUGUCGAGUCUGUCUAACGGGAGGGCGUGUGAGUGGCAAUUGGUAUGUUUGUGUUGUCUGGCUCCAUGAUAAUGGUCAUCGAACUUUCAGCACACAACCCUUCCCAUGUUCGCCUUGUGUCAUUUCGGCCACAGCGUUCAAUUGUGGUUCUUGUGUUGCCUACCUAUUAAGUGGUAUUCAUGCACCUCUUAUGACCCAUUCCAUCCAGAACCCUUCUAGAGGUCAUUGGAGGAUUUGGAAGUGAUGUAUUAGCUGUGAAUUGUGAUGGCUUGCGUUCUCACACGUGUCUAGUGUUCCCAUGGAUGCAGUGCAUGCGGCGUAUGCAGACUGAUGAGUCUGCCCCUUUGGGUCCCUUUGAUUUAUCGGUUUCCUUGAAUAACACUUUGUCGUGGUGUCGGUCUUGCUUAACCGUUUGCAGUAGCAUAACUUGCACGUCGAGCAAAGUUGUUGAUGGAUACUACAUGGUUGAUCCUGCCAGUAGUCAUAUGCUUGUCUCGAAGAUUAAGCCAUGCAUGUGUAAGUAUGAACUAAUUCAGACUCUGAAACUGCGAAUGGCUCAUUAAGUUAGUUAUAGUUUGUUUGAUGAUAUCUACUACUCGGAUAACCAUAAUAAUUCUAGAGCUAAUACGUGCAACAAACCCCGACUUCUGGAAGGGAUGCAUUUAUUAGAUAAAAGGUCGACGCAGGCUCUGCUUAUUGCUUUGAUGAUUCAUGAUAACUCGUCAGAUUGCAUGGCAUUUGUGUCGGCGAAGUAUCAUUCAAAUUUCUGCCCUAUCAAGUUUUGAUGGUUGGAUAGUGGCCUACCAUGGUGGUGACGGGUGACGGAGAAUUAGGGUUCCAUUUUGGAGAGGGAGCCUAAGAAACAGCUACCACAUCCAAGGAAGGCAGCAAGCACUCAAAUUACCCAAUCCUGACACGGGGAGGUAGUGACAAUAAAUAACAAUACCGGGCUCAUUGUGUCUGGUACUUGAAAUGUGUGCAAUCUAAAUACCUUAACGAGGAUCCAUUGAAGGGCAGUCUAGUGCCAGCAGCCGCGGUAAUUCCAGCUCCAAUAGCGUAUAUUUAAGUUAUUAUAGUGAAAAUGCUCGUAAUUGGACCUUUGGUUGGGUCGAUCGGUCCGCCAUUGGUGUGCACCAGUCGGCUCGUCCCUUCUACCAGCGAUAUGCUCUUGGCCUUAACUGGUCGGGUCAUGCCUCCGACGUUGUUACUUUGAAGAAAUUAGAGUGCUCAAAGCAAGCCUACGCUCGGGAUACAUUAGCAUGGGAUAACACCAUAAGAUUUUGAUCCUAUUAUGUUGGCCUUCGGAUCGGACUAAUGAUUAACAAGGACAGUCAGGGGCAUUCGUAUUUCAUAGUCAGAGGUGAAAUUCUUGGAUUUAUGAAAGACGAACAACUGCGAAAGCAUUUGCCAAGGAUGUUUUCAUUAAUCAACAACGAAAGUUGGGGGCUCGAAGAUGAUUAGAUACCAUCCUAGUCUCAACCAUAAACGAUGUUGACCAGGGAUCAACAGAUGUUGCUUUUAGGACUCUACUGGCACCUUAUGAGAAAUCAAAGUCUUUCGGUUCUGUCGCAAGGCUGAAACUUAAAGGAAUUGACGGAAGGGCACCACCAGGAGUGGAGCCUGCGGCUUAAUUUGACUCAACACGGGGAAACUUACCAGGUCCAGACAUAGUAAGGAUUGACAGACUGAGAGCUCUUUCUUGAUUCUAUGGGUGGUGGUGCAUGGCCGUUCUUAGUUGGUGGAGUGAUUUGUCUGGUUAAUUUCGUUACUGAACGAGACCUCAGCCUGCUAACUAGCUAUGUUGAGGUAACCCUCCAUGGCCAGAUUCAUAGAGGGACUAUGGCCACUUAGGCCACAAAAGUUUGAGGCAAUAACAGGUCUAUGAUGCCCUUAGAUCUUUUGGGCCGCACGCGCGCUACACUAAUGUAUUCAACCAGUUUAUAGCCUUGGCUGAUAGGCCUGGGUAAUCUUUGAAAUUCCAUCGUGAUCGGGAUAGAUCAUUGCAAUUGUUGGUCUUCAACGAGGAAUUCCUAGUAAGUGCGAGUCAUCAGCUCACGUUGACUAUGUCCCUUCCCUUUGUAGACACUGCUUGUCGCUUCUACCGAUUGAAUGGUCCGGUGAAGUGUUUGAAUUGCCACGACGUGGCGGUUCCCUGUCGGCGACGUUGUGAGAAGUCCAUUGAACCUUAUCAUUUAGAGAAGGAGAAGUCGUAACAAGGUAUUCGUAGGUGAACCUGCGAAAGGAUCAUUGUCGAAGCCUCACAAGCAAGGUGACCCCGUGAAUCUGUUUUACUCCUCAAGGGUAGCUAGAGGUGUUUGGCACCACGGUCCCCCUCAUGUCAGGAGGCACCACACCCUCUACGGUAUCCUCCUGGCCUAGUAACAAAACCCCAGCGUGGAACGCACAUAGGAAAUUGAAAUCGUUUAGUUCGCCCUCGUCAACCCAAAGACGGUGCUCGUGCGGGCAUAGUUGUGACACGCUUAUCCUAAAGACUCUCGACAACGGAUAUCUCGACUCUUGCAUCGACAAAGAACAUAGCGAAAUGCGAUACUUGGUGUGAAUUGCAGAAUCCCAUGAACCAUCGAGUCUUUGAACGCAAGUUGCACCCGAAGCCAUUAGGGCGAGGGCACGCCUGCCUAGGUGUUGCACAUCGUUGCCCCAUGCUAGGCACCAAGAGGGGCGAAUGUUGGCUUCCUACAAGCAAUGUCUCACGGUUGGUUGAAAACUGAGUCCGCGGUGGAGGACGUUGUGAUGGAUGGUGGUUGAGCUAAUGCUCGAGACUGAUCGUGUGUGUCACUCCCACUAGCUUUGUGACUCUUUGACCCAUGGGGAUAUGUUGGCCUCCUAAUACGGGAACCUCAGGUGAGGCGCAGCUACCUGCUGAGUUUCAGUAUAUCAAUAAGCGGAGGAAAAGAAACUAACAAGGAUCCCCUUAGUAACGGUGAGCGAACUGGGAAAAUCCCAUCAUGAGAAUCGGUCGCCCUCGGUGUCUGAAUUGUAGUCUGGAGAAGCGUCAUCAGCAGCGGACCGGGCCCAAGUCCCCUAGAAGGGGGUGCCGGAGAGGGUGAGAGCCUCGUCGUGCAUAGACCAUGUUGUACCACGAGCCGCUAUCGGCGAGUUGGGUUGUUUGGGAAUGCAGCCCCAAUUGGGCGGUAAAUUCCAUCGAAGGCUAAAUACAGGCGAGAGACCGAUAGCGAACAAGUACCGCAAGGCGAAGAUGAAGGACUUUGAAAAGAGAGUCAUAGAGUGCUUGAAAUUGUCGGGAGGGAAGCGGCUGGGGGCUGGCGAUGUGCCUCAGUCGGAUUUGGAACGAGGAGAGCCAGUCCGCCAAUCGACUUGGGGCAUGGACUGACGCGAAUUGUGAUGGUGGCCCAAGCCCAGGCUGUUGACAUGCUCAUGAAGACGUCAUCAUCGCGAUUGUGGUAGGAAAUGCGCGUCGUUUCGUGUGCUUCGGCUCCUGCGUGCUCCGGGCGUCGACCUGUAGGCUCCCUAUUCGGCCCAUCUUGAAACACAUACCAAGAAGUCUGACAUGUGUGCGACCUAGAGGGCAAGUAAACCCGAGAAGCACAAUGAAGCUGAUUGGUGGGAUCCCCUUGUGGGUUGCACCACCGACCGACCCUGAUCUUCUUUGCAGGGUUUGAGUGAGAGCAUACCUAUCGGGACCCGAAAUAUGGUGAACUAUGCCUGAGCGGAGCGAGACCAGAGGAAACUCUGGUGGAGGCCAGCAACGAUACUGACGUGCCAAUCGUUCGUCUGACUUGGGUAUAGGGGCGAAAGACUAAUCGAACUGUCUAGUAGCUUGUUCCCUCCGAAGUUUCACUCAGGAUAGCUAGAGCCUGUAGGUGAGUUCUAUCGGGUAAAGCUAAUGAUUAGAGGCAUCGAGGGUGCAACGCCCUCGACCUAUUCUCAAACUUUAAAUAGGUAGGACGAUAUGGCUGCUUUGUUGAGCCACUCCAUGGAAUUGAGAGCUGCAAGUGGGCCUUUUUUGGUAAGCAGAACUGGCGUUGCGGGAUGAACCGGAAGUUGGGUUACGGUGCCCAACUGUGUGCUAACCUAGACCCCACAAAGGGUGUUGGUCGAUUAAGAUAGCAUGACGCUAGUCAUGGAAGUCAAAAUCCGAUAAGGAGUUUGUAACAACUUACCUGCCGAAUCAACUAGCCCCGAAAAUGGAAGGCGCUAAAGCGUGCGACCCAUACCCGGCCAUCGGGACAAGGGCCAUGCCCCAAUGAGUAGGAGGACGCGACGGUCGCUGCAAAACCUAUAGCGUGAGCCCGGACGGAAUGGUCGUCGGUGUAGAUCUUAGUGGUAGUAGCAAAUAUUCAAAUGAGAACAUUGAAGGCCGAAGAGGGGAAAGGUUCCAUGUGAAUGACACUUGCACAUGGGUUAGUCGAUCCUAAGGGAUGAGGAAAGCCCGUCUGAUAGUGCUCUAAGCGCGCACUCCGAAAGGGAAUUGGGUUAAAAUUCCUGAACCGGGAUGUGGCGGCUGACUACAACGUUAGGGAGUCCGGAGACGACGACGGGGGCCCGGAAAGAGUUAUCUUUUCUGUUUAAUAUCCUUCCCACCCUAGAAACAACUCAACCGGAGGUGGGGUCCAGCGGCUGGAAGAGCACCGCACGUCACGUGAUGUUUGCUGCGCCCCCGAUGGCCCUUGAAAAUCCAGAGGACCGAGUGCCUCCCACGCCCGGUCUUACUCAUAACUGCAUCAGGUCUCCAAGGUGAACAACCUCUAGUCGAUGGAACAAUGUAGGCAAGGGAAGUUUUCAAAAUGGAUCUGUAACCUUGAGAAAAGGAUUGGCUCUGAGGGAUGGGCAUGAAGGUCCCAGUCCCUAACCCGUCGGCUGUCGGUGGACUGCUCAAGAUGCUCUUAUGGCGAGAGUGGGUCGCUGCGUGCCGGUCGGGGGACGGAUUGGGAAUGGGCCCUUCGGGGCCUCUUCCCCAGACAUCAAACAGUCGACUCAAAACUGGUACAGACAAGGGGAAUCUGACUGUUUAAUAAAAACAAAGCAUUGCGAUGGUUCGUGACGAUGUGGAUGCAAUGUGAUUUCUGCCCAGUGCUCUAAAUGUCAAAGUGAAGAAAUUCAACUAAGCGUGGGUAAACGGCAGGAGUAACUAUGACUCUCUUAAAGUAGCCAAAUGACUCGUCAACUAAUUAGUGAUGCGCAUGAAUGGAGUAACGAUAUUCCCAUUGUCCCUAUCUACUAUCCAGCGAAACCGCAGCCAAGGGAACGGGCUUGGCGGAAUCAGCAGGGAAAGAAGACCCUGUUGAGCAUGACUCUAGUCCGACUUUGUGAAAUGACUUGAGAGGUGUAGGAGAAGUGGGAGUUGGAAACAGAGGAACUGAAAUACCACUACUUUUAACAUUAUUUUAGUUAUUCCGUGAAUCGGAGGCGUGGUGCAGCCCCUAUUUUUGGACCCAAGGUCGGCCUCAGUCGGUCGAUCCGGGCGGAAGACAUUGUCAGGUGGGGAGUUUGGCUGGGGCGGCACAUCUGUUAAUAGAUAACGCAUGUGUCCUAAGAUGGGCUCAACGAGAACAAAAAUCUUGUGUGGAACAAAAGGGUAAAAGCUCGUUUGAUUCUGAUUUCUAGUACGAAUACUGUUAGGUAUCAGUGACAGAAUACACCUAGAAGGGGGUGAAUAGGUGUCGCGGCUCCCACUUACCACUAUAUGCCCCAGAACCCUAUUCUGGAAAAUCAUCCAGUUAAUCGAUUAAAGCUAUGACUUAAUCGAUUAAGUCACAUAGAAUUAGCAAUUGCUUAAUGGCUCAAUUACACAGCCAAUUACAGAUUAUACAGAAAUGAUAUAGCAUAUAUAUUUGAACACAAAUGAUCUUUAUUUGGCAGUAACACUAUAUUCAAAAUAUCAGCUACAAUAGGCAAUUAAAAGCUACUUGAACGCUACCUUCUUGAAUUCCCAGAACCUCUACCUUGGUUUGACAUUAUCAAAAAGAUAAACUAAAUGAAACUUUGGUCAAAAGUAAGAAGAGAUAUGAAGUGAACUCAAACUGUAAUUGAUCAAUUAAUUUUGAGAAUGUAAUUAAUUAACCAGUUGAUGAAAUAAUUGAACAAGCGCAUACAUUUACCAACAUUUAAUCGAUUAAAACAGCAGGUUAAUCGAUUAAACCAAUAGAAUACAACAAUAUGACAGAUUUAAUGGUGUGUAGGGUUAUACAUGAAUCAAUCAAGCAUGGAAUGAUCAAGCAUUUACAUUAUAGCAUUCAAACGGUAGGCUCAAUCAAACAUAAGAUGUACAUAUAACCAAACAUGAUCAAGAACCAUUAAACAUGCAAUCAUGCUAUUUGACAUAUAUAAACAAAAGGAAACCACAAUAGGAAUGAUUUAAGUUCAAUUGGCAUGCAUAUCAAGUCAUAAAAUUGCAGCAAUAAUAGAUAGUUAGAGUUACAAUCCAGAAAGCAAAGACAAAAAUAUGUCUCGAAAUUACAAAGUAGCAUAAAUCCUGAAAAUUAGCCAUAUAGAAGGACUAAACCAAGGGAAUCUAAGAUCUAAGGCCCUAUAAUCUAGGGAUGCAGAGGAGGAUCUCUGUUAUCAGAUACGGUCAGACUACUAUCACCCCGGAUGAGGAAUUUCACAUUCUCAAACUCUGCACAAAACUCUCAUUCUAUGCCUCAGCAGUGUUAUGCACAAAGCUCCUCAUAGCCUGAUAGUGGUUAUCGAAGCACCCUGACGCUCCUCAAAUUUUUCCAAAUCAGUAUGGUAGGAGUCCUUUAAAGACUGAAAGUAUAAGUCCAUCCCGUUCUUCAGCCUUUGCUCCAUGGCAUCCUCUUAAUCAAGAUGUACGCAAUCAAAUAGUGAAGCAAUCUAUUCUCUACCAAUAAAGAACCAGCUUUAGUCAGUUCUCCCUUAACAUAUAGAUGGGGACCUCUCAGACAUGAUUUAUAUACCUCAGCAUCAUCGAAAUCAGCAAGCCAUUCACAAUCACCUAGGCUAACAUCGGUAGUGGAUAAGCCACCCACAUUCAUAAAAAUGCUACUAUCCAUCUCAAACAGAUUUCUCGAAAUCAUAGACAAAUAUCUACCAUCCUUAUAACGGAAGUUGGCGUAAAAUUCCCUAAUCAAAGCGGGAUACAAAUUACCCGUUAAUUCCAAAAACAUUACAGCUCCCUAAGCCUGCAUACCUUGCGGAAAUUUGAAAUUUUGUUCCGCCAUCCAGGUAAGAUCAACGUACCUUAUGUGAUUAGUAGAUCCGAAGAUUAUAUCAUCAACAUAUAUUUGAACUAAAAGCACAUGAUUAUCUAAUCUACGAAUAAAGAGGGUAGUAUCAACCAUACCCCUUUUCCAUAAAGGCCUUUUUGAGCUUAUAUACAUGGUUCAGAUACUUCAAAUUUUCAAAGCCAGGAGGUUGAUCUACAUAUACCUCCUCUUGAAUGUAGCCAUUCAAGAAGGCGCUCUUGACAUCCAUUUGACAGAGCUUGAAGUUAAUAAUUGAUGCAAAGGAUAAAAGCAUCCUUAUGGCCUCUAAUCUGGCUACAGGAGCGUAGGUCUCAUCAUAAUCGAUGCCCUCCUCCUUGUUCUAGCCUUUGGCCACUAAGCAAGCUUUAUUUCUAAUUAUCAAGCUAGAUUCAUCCAAUUUAUUACGAAAGACCCAUCUAGUACNNNNNNNNNNNNNNNNNNNNNNNNNNNNNNNNNNNNNNNNNNNNNNNNNNNNNNNNNNNNNNNNNNNNNNNNNNNNNNNNNNNNNNNNNNNNNNNNNNNNCUGGGAGCUUGUUUCAGGCCAUAAAGGGCCUUUUUGAGCUUAUAUACAUGGUUCGGAUACUUAAAAUUUUCAAAGCUAGGAGGUUCAUCUACAUAUACCUCCUCUUGAAUGUAGCCAUUCAAGAAUGCGCUCUUGAUAUCCAUUUGAAAGAGCUUCAAUUUCAUAAUUGAUGCAAAGGAUAAAAGCAUCCUUAUGGCCUCUAAUCUGGCUACAGGAGCGUAGGUCUCAUCAUAAUCGAUGCCCUCCUCCUUGUUCUAGCCUUUGGCCACUAAGCAAGCUUUAUUUCUAAUUAUCAAGCUAGAUUCAUCCAAUUUAUUACGAAAGACCCAUCUAGUACCAAUCACUGGAUGUUCUUUAGGCUUAGGGACCAAGACCCAUCUAGCUAUACCCUAACGCACAUCCUCAAUGGCCUCAUUGAUGGUCUUAGGCUUGACUUGAGAUACAAAAGCAACAAAGUUACAAAAGUUACGUAAAGAACUACGGGUUACCACCCCCGUAGUUAUAUCACCUAUCACUUUGUCGAGUGGAUGAUCCUUCUUGGUCUUCCACGCGAUUGGCAAGUCCUGAUGUUCAUCUUGUACAGUUUGCUUUGCUUCUACUUCUUUGUCCUAGUCCAUGUCCUUAGGGUAUGCUUCUUCCAAAGCAUCUGCAACAUCAUCAGAGAAUACCUUCCUCUUCUCUUUUGGAGAAGAUUCAUCAAAAUGGACAUGCAUAGACUCUUCUACUUACAUUGAAUAUUUAUUAAUGAUUCGAUAAGCUUUACUAUGCAAUGAAUAUCCCAAAAAUAUACCAUCACCAGCUUUUGAAUCAAAUUUACUUAAAGAUCUUUUUCCAUUAUUUAAUAUAAAACAGUUACGCCCAAAAGCAUGAAAAUGAGAAAUAUUAGGUCUACGACCUUUUAAGAGUUAUUAUGGGGUUUUUGAGUAAGUAGGCAUCAAGGGUAUACGUUUAAUCACAUAGCAAGUUGUAUGCACUACAUCAGACCAAAAAUAUUUAGGAACCUUUCUUUCCUUUAGCAUGGUUCUAGCAAGAUCCUCUAAGACUCGAUUCUUCCUCUCAACAACUCCUUUUUGUUGAGGGGUACGAGGGGCCGAAAAUUGAUGCAUAAUGUCAUAUUUAUUACAAAAUUUAUCAAAUGGAUCGAAUAUAUACUAUCUUAUGAUUAAACUGGUUUUGGAUUUUCUUGGCAAGGUUUUUGAAAGAUUUAAAAGCAUUGCUCUUGGACGAGAGAAAUAAUGUCCAUGUAAAUCUAGAGAAAUCGUCAACGAUCACUAAAACAUAAAAGCUACCACCAAAAUUCAUAACAUGGGAUGGUCCAUACAAGUCCAUAUGGAAAAGCUCCAAAGGUCUUGUUGUGGAUAUCACAUUCUUUUUAGCAAAACAAUUUUUAACUUGUUUACAUCUUUGACAAGUGUCACAAGUUUCUUGAGUUUUAAAAUNNNNNNNNNNNNNNNNNNNNNNNNNNNNNNNNNNNNNNNNNNNNNNNNNNNNNNNNNNNNNNNNNNNNNNNNNNNNNNNNNNNNNNNNNNNNNNNNNNNNGAUUAACCAUAUAGAUAUUAUUUAUAUGAUAUCCGACAAACUUAACUUUAUUAGAUAUAUUGUCACGAAUAAUACAACACUCAGAAUCAAAAGCUACACGAUUAUCUUUAUCGCAUAGUUGGAUGAUACUCAAGAGGUUAUGUUCCAGACCUUCAACAUAUAACACAUUUUCGAUCACAGCCCGAUUUGAGUUGCCAAUUGUUCCGGUGCCAUGUAUCUUCCCUUUGUUAUUGUCUCCACAAGUGACGAACCCUUUUUCUUGCAAGGAUAUAUGUAGGAAUUUAGAUCUAUCACCCGUCAUAUGUCUCGAGGAAUUUAGAUCUAUCACCCGUCAUAUUUCUCAAAGAAUUUAGAUCUAUCUUUGCAUAGAUCACUUGCCUGACAUAGAUCACUUGCCUUUUUCAGGUACCCAAGUUAUGUUGGGUCCUUUUCUGUUAGUAACUAGGGAGUUAUCUCCCUUUUUCAUCCAUACAUACAUGCCACUAGGUAUACCAUAUUUUCUAAUAUAACAGGAGUAGGAAGUGUGGCCAUGAGUGCCACACAAAAAGCAUGUAGGAACCUUUUUAUUAAAAAAUUUCUUAUUGGGUCGAUUAAUAGGUCUCCUAUAUGGUCUUCUCUUAUGCAUAGGGGGGAUAUAUCCUAGCCUGGUAUGGUCACCAACAUUUCUAGUUUUACUAAGCAUAGUGUCUAACAUGUUUUGACUCUCUGUGAGUUUUGCGAGUUUUUCAUUUACUCUCAAAUUUUCAUCUUUCAAAUCAUCGCAAGAAUCAGAGACAGUUGGUUGACAUAAAUUAUUAUCAAAGCAAUUGCAUGCAUUACAAGAAUAGAUCAAAUCUAAUGUUUCAUUUUUCAAUUUUAGUUCAUCUAAUUCUUUUUGUAAUGAAACUAUUUUUUGUUCAUUUAGCAGGAUUACUCUUUUCCUAUCGGAACUAAUCCUAGCUCAUUUCUUUAACUCAUCAUGCAAUUCGACAUACACAUUAUAUAAGUCCUCAUAAGGAGGAGAAUCAUUAGAUGAAGCAUCAUCUGUUCUCGUUAUUAAGCAUAGCUUUACUGUCUCCUCUUCAUAUGAGGUGUUAGAUAUCGUGUCCUCCUCUGGUACAUCCCAUACUAUAUAAUCUUUCUUCGAUUUGAAGUCCCGAGGAGUGCUCUUAUCUGAAUCAACCUUUUUGGGGUAAGUAGGACAUUGGAACCUCAUAUGUCCUGGCUUACCACAUUCCUGGCAAGUGAAGCACUCUUUACUCUUGCCUUUUCUGGUCGACUCCCACGCUUCUUUCUUCUAGAAACAUUUGAACCCUCCUUUCUUUAGAAAUUUCCCGAAUUUGCGUAGGAGAAGGCUCAAUGUUUCUUCGUCUACAUCUGAAUCAGAUUCAUCUUCUUUUCUCUCUUUUGUGGAUUGAGAGUUUGUUGCCUUGAGAGAUAUACUUUUUUGUUUGCGAUCUGAUUUUUCAUGCAUAGUCAGGCGUCCAAGCUCCAUUUUGUGCUCUUGAAGUUUUCCGAACAAUGUUGCCAAAGGCAUGGAGCCAAGAUCCUUUGAUUACAUAAUAGAUGUUACUUUUGGUUGCCAUCUCCUGUCAAGAUAGCGUAAAACUUUGUUAGUAAGCUCUCUUUUGUUAAAAAAUUUACCCAAAGCAACUACAUGGUUAACUAUAUGAGUAAAACAUUUUUGCAUAUCAACAAUAGAUUCAUUUGGUAACAUACGAACUAACUUAUAUUCAUGUGUCAGGGCAUUCAACCUGGCACGCUUGACUUUGCUAGUUCCUUCGUGAGUUACUUGUAAAGUGUCCCACAUUACUUUAGCACUUUGGCACUGUGAAACUCGAAAGAACUCAUCAUAGGAUAGGGCCGAUGUGAUGAUAUUUUUGGCACGUAGGUUAUACUGAACCUUUUUGCGUUCAUCAUCAUUCCAUAGACUUUUCGGUUUAUCUUUCGUUUCAUCGUCCACUAAAUGUUGUGGAACGAAGGGCCCGUUGACUAUGCAUUCCCAAAUAUCCGAGUCGAUGGCCUCUAUAAAUAUUUUCAUGCAAACUUUCCAGUAGGAAUAUCCUUUGCCAUUGAAAAUGGGAGGGCAUUUAACGGAUGCGCCAUCACCGCCACAAGGGUUGGUGGAACGAUUUCCCUAAUGGAUCACGCAGAUACGAUUGAGCUAGCACGACGUACUAGCUCUGAUACCACUUGUUAGGUAUCAGUGAGAGAAUACACCUAGAAGGGGGGGGGGUUGAAUAGGUGUCACGGUUCCCACUUACCGCUAUUUGUACCAAAGCCCUAUUCUGGAAAAUCUCCCAGUUAAUCGAUUAAAGCUAUGACUUAGUCGAUUAAGUUGGACAGAAUUACCAGUUGCUGAAUGGCUCAAUUACACAGCCAAUUACAAAUUAUACAGUAAUGAUAUAGCAGAUAUAUUUGAACAUAAAUAAUCUUUAUUUGGCAGUAAUACUAUAUUCAAAAUCUCAGCUACAAUAGGCAAUUAAAAGCUACUUAAUAAGUAAAGAGAUAAGGGAAAGAAACAGUCCGCAAUAAGGUUUUUAUACUAGUUUGUUUUGCGGUCCACUGCAAAACUACAUCUAGUCCUCCCCUCUGAUCUGGGAGAUUAUCUUCACUAAAAUUGAUGUCAAUGUAUCUUACAUACACACUUCCAAUUACAAGACCUUGAACGCUACCUUCUUGAAUUCCCAGAACCUCUACCUUGGUUUGACCUUACUCAAUCGCCUAGGAAAACCUUCCCUACGAUCCAGCCCCAUCAAGAGUAUGUUCUAAACUCAAGACCUCCAAGUCUUGGUGAAGACUCUCUGAUCUCGUCGGUGGUACGACACCAAGAGAAGACUUUCCUUAUUACACAAACAACACAAAUAACAGAGUAAUGUGGAGCACAAAAUAGCUCAAAUAUUACAAGACAAAACAAGGUAUAAACCUUAUACAAAUCUCACAAUUACUAAGAAUAUGUAUAAGAUCAGAAUCAUGAAGAACAUGUAAUUUCUACCCUUUAGAAAUCUCUAAACAGUAAUGAAUGAAUCAUGCAAGAACAAGAUAGGAUGAUGAACACAUUUGAUAAUAUGCAAUGGAUGACAUGUUAAUCCCUAGGCAUAAUACUAUCUCACUCUAAUCUCACAUGAAAUUUUCUCUGCCUAUAUGACAUACAAAGAAUAUGAAAAUAUGCAACUUAGCAGGUUUAAUAUGAAUGAAUGAAUGUAUUAAUUCGUAUAUAGAAUCUGUUGAAAAUACAGUUUCUCUAGAAAAAGUGUUUUGCACCCAAUUAAUUGAUUAUGUUGCAUGUUAAUCGAUUAACGGGCUGUUAGAGAGUAACUGAAUUCUGCUUUUUAGUUAUCUGUUGAAAAUGUUAAAAAAUGUUUUCGCGUUAAUCGAUUAAAGCUUCACUUAAUCGAUUAACUAGCAUAUUUUUAGUUAAGGUGUUAAUUGGUAAACUACCUAUAU